rnacentral:lncRNA from 1 species
CUGCGAGUGUGUGUGCCGAACGAGGAGCAAGGAGCUUGUGCGAGCGAGUGUGCGAGCGGGGGUGCGCGUGUGAGUGUGCGUGCGCGUGGCGCGGGCGCCGUCUCUGCUCGGAGCCUGGCCGGGCCGGGGUCCGCGGGCUUCAGCGCGUGCGCUCGGCCUGCGGGGAGCCCAGGUCCCACGCGGCCCGCAACCAGACAGGGCUGCGAAGGUGCAGGCGGGCCAAGCGCUGCGGACCCGGCGGGCUGCAGGAAGAACUAACUAUAUCCCGAACAUCCGCUGUCAGCAGGCACAAGGCUGUGAUUCAAGAUGAGUGCCCGAAGCUUCCUCUGCGUGUGUGAAGAAGAUCCAGCAAGAGAAGGAAGCAGGGUUCCUGAAAGCCAGGCUGAUGAGGAAAACUCCUGUGCUGAGUUAACGUGGGCGUCUGAGUGGGCAGAGUCAGUGUAUGAACAGCACAGGUGCCCACCCCACCCCCACCCUGGCGGGAAUACUCUAUGAGGUCAAAGCUGGUCCCUGUGUCUUCAAGGACACAAGCCAAUUUAAAGAGAAAUCAUUCAGUUAAAAAGAAAGUUUAGAUCCGCUCCCACUGGUGCAGACUGAUUGGUUAAUAUCAUCUCAACUUAGCAUGUUCUGAAAAUAAGGGUUACUAACCUUCACAGACAACCAGUGGUCUCAGGGAGCCACGAAGCUGUCUCAGGACUGCACACAAGGCACAUACAGGUGAAGCUGGAUACGAGUCAGACCUGUGUACUAACUCCCUGCAACCGAGGGGGGAGGAAGUGACCACGUCAUCUCAUUGGCUCUGCAGAUCCAAGUCAACUCAAACGGCAAGCACGGCCCAGAGUUGGAUGCACCCUCAGAUUCAACAGCCGACCACUGGCAUCCCUUUUUCCCCCUUCCUCGGUGGUACAUGGAAUAAAAACACACCCCGGGCUUGCUGGAAUACCAAGGAAACAUUCAUGCCCAUGGAGAGAGGAGCCUUCACUAACCUUGAGUGGGAGAGAAUCAGCCAGGGCCUCUGAGGCACAUGGAAAUACUUGUCUUAAGUAGUUGGCUCUUAGAAAUCACAGCCCAGAUGCCUGAAGCAGAAGGAGAAGCACCUGUAGUGGCUGUCACCCUGCAGGCACCUCUGUUACUGGAGUCACCAAGAAAUAGUAUUACGGGAGUCUUGGAAGUGAGAGAGCUCCUCUAAGGAGAGACCCAGGAACCUGUUGCUAAGGGGCCAGCAUGUAGGGUCCCUGCUGGGCCUGCAUAGAAGGAGCCCGGUGCUUAGUGGUUCCUUCCUGAAGCCUAGGCUAAGGAUUCUAUAUGGCUUCAUCCUCCGCUCUACUCAAGCAAAGACAAGCUUCAACUGCUGGGCCUAAGGCACAUGGAGCUCAACUCAACAACUGGGAAUGGAGGACCCCUCCAGAGACCCAGAAGACCCCCGCCCGGGGGGGUGACAUCAGUUGGGGAGCUAUUAAUAACUGCCCUCCCCUCCUUGUCAUAUUUCCUGAACUGUGUGGGGAAGGCGAUUGUGAGGCGCUCUGCUGGAAUUUGGCAGCGCGGAGGCUUGGAGAGCAGCCCCAUGCUGGCUCCUAUUCAGCCGGCCAGUUUUCCUCGAGCUUUGGAAGUUUCACUCAGCCGUGCACUCAAUGGCUUCACAAAGCUGAUUACAAGCUUCAGCGCAUUCCUGAAGGAGCCAAAAGCGACGCAGGUGCAAACGAGCCGAGGGAGCCCCUUAUCCCGGUGACAGAAUGGGACAAGCUGGGAAAGGCUUGGACCACACAAAUCCAAGGCUCACCAGGCAGCAGAGAGCCUGCCUUGGGAACCGGGGGUCAUUAUCCGCCCUAUUCAGCGGGACCGGGGACCCUGGGGCCAGGGAGGCCGGCCGGGCGCAAGCGCCACCGCCAGUACGCGCCUGCAGCAGUGGGGACCCCGCUGGGCGUUGCAACCCGUCGGGAUGUUGGGCGCUGCGUUUGUUCCCACCGACAGCGGUCCGCGAAAUCCAUCCUGCGGGUGAAAGCCGGUGUCCAGGCUAACCGGGAUACAGGAGAAGGAGGGUAGCGAAGAUGCUCAGUGCGUGGACAGUGCGUAACUUUGUCUCCAUCACAGUCACUUAUCUGGAAACCUGCGGCUGGAUUAAUCGCUAUAUUCCCAAGAUGAGCGGUGCUGCAAUCCGCAGUGAACACGGGUGGGAACACGGAAGCUUCCCCUAGGUUCUUGCGGGGGCCAGCAGCUGGCCAGCUCCCUGCAGUGGAUGCUGCACAGUUGCUAGCACCUGUUUGGGCUCGGGUUGGGGGUCUACGAGCACUUAGGCGCACAGAAGAUGUGGAAGAGAGGAAGGAAACAGGCCUGUGGGGACUCAGGCCUGAGAGAGGUUGAUUAGCUCUCAGUAAAGGCACAGAACUGCCUAUGUAAAGAGCUUUUUAACCUGAAAAUGAUGCUGCUGAGUCUUCAGUCCGUGGUCUAUUCAGAUGCAGACAAAUGUUCCCUCCCAUCUUGAUCUCCCAGCCUCACCCCUACCACACCCACAGCUACUCCUUAGGCCCCUCCCCUGGAAUUUUCUCCUUCGGGAUCCUGGUCCUACAAGAGUUAGUAAUAUUUACUUAGGAACUGUGGGCGUGGAAAUAAAUCCUAGUUGUUCAGCCCCUUGCCCUACCUGUUCCAGUUAAAGACGGUGGGUUGUAGCCAGGCAGUGGUGGCGCACGCCUUUAGUCCCAGCACUUGGGAGGCAGAGGCAGGCGGAUUUCUGAGUUUGAGGCCAGCCUGGUCUACAGAGUGAGUUCCAGGACAGCCAGGGCUGUACAGAGAAACCCUGUCUCGAAAAACCUAAAAAAUAAAAUAAAAUAAAUAAGAUGGUGGAGUGUGUGGUGCCAAAGCUCUAGGGAGAAUACUUGUCUACAAAAACUUUCUCUGCUGAGGUCAAAGCAUCAGCUUCGAGGGAACUACCACUUGGUGCGUGAGGUUUCUGCGCCUGGGCAACGGUGUCUCUGUAGGUGUGAAAGCUGGGCAUCAGCUUGUGACAGCUUUAGGCCACAGAAGCCGAAACUGUGCGCCUCCAUUUUGUCAGCAUAUUAAACAUCCGAGAGGGUGCCUGGCCACCACAUAUGGCCCCUGAGCAUCCAACAUUCACAAUGUCACACACACUAGAUUUAGAGCUGCUGAAUGAGAAGGAGAUCAUUGAUUUGAGAUGUUGGCGACAGAAAUGACAGUGCUUGGGAUGUGUUGGGUUAAAGAAAACACAUUAUUAAAGUGAGCCUCACUGCCGGCUGCUCUUGGAAACCACUGUGGCCUUGGUAGCUCCUCUUUGCUGGCUCUGUGCCUUUCAGCGGCUGUCUGUGGUCUUUCCAUGAUCCUCUAGGAAAUGGAAAAGGAAGAAGCAAAUGCAGUGGAAAGGACUGAGCCUUCGAUCACUAGAGGCAGCCAGAGCCCCUCCCAGCUCCUCUCAAAGUUACCCUUGUAACAAUCAAAGCUUCCUCACUCGCAGCAGUAAAAAGAAGUAUACAUUCUAUUUAUUGCUGGAGUGGUAUUCUUUCUAGAUUAGCUUUAAUUCUGUUUAAUUACAUUGCGAUCAUUAACCGAGCUGCAACUUUUUUGUUAUUAGAUACUUUCUUUAUUUACAUUUUAAAUGUUAUCCCCCUUCCUAGUUUCCCCUAUGAAAACCCCCUAUCCCAUCCCCACUCCCCCUGCUCCCCCAAUCCACCCACUCCCGCUUCCGUGUCUUGGCAUUCCCCUACACUGGGGCAUCGAGCCUUCAUAGGACCAAGGGCCUCUCCUCCCAUUGAUGUCCAACAAGGCCAUUCCCUGCUACGUGUGCGUGCCCCGUGCUUUCACUGCUCUGUGAGUGGGCUGUGGGGGAAAGGUGGUGCUGAAUUUCAUCCGAUCGUGAAUGUCACUGUGCUGAGCAUCCAGUGUGAAUGACCAGGGCUCUACAGUCUAGAGCCCUUGUCAUGUGUGGACCACGGCAGGUGCCCACACACUCAUCUCGAAAACAGAAAGAAGUGAAAGUAAUUUUAGAAGCAGUGUCUGAGAAUUUGAAUGUAUUUACAGACAGGAAGCCAUGGGUCCCUCCAUGUGGAGAUACAGAGACAAAGUGUGGAGCAGAGACUGAAGAAAAGGCCAUCCAGAGACUGACCCACCUGGGGAUCCAUCCCAUAUACAGCUACCAAACUCAGAUACUAUUGUGAAUGCCAACAAGUGUGCAACUUUUGAAGAAUCUUGCUACUACUGUUGGAUGGAGGAACGUUGAUUCUAGGAGUGACUGUGCAAAUCCCAUGGCAUUGCAAGGAAGCCUCUCCCUGCUAUUUUCAAACUUUUAGUCAGCACUUGACACUUUCUGGCUUUAAUUUUGCCUUACAAAUGAGUGUAACUGCCACCACUCAAACAAAACAGAAUUCUGAACAGAAAUUUGUCUUUUGUUGUCUGUACCAACCAAGAGUGAGUUCCUUCUCAAAAUUCCUUUUGGGGCUAACAUACACAUUUAGAAUGAUAUGAAAUGAGACUUAAACCAAGGAGGCCAUGAGGGAACAUGCUUAUAAAUGUCUAUUUUACAUGUAUUCAUUUACAUUUAUUCAUGCACUGGCAGUGUGCUUGCCAUGGUGAAUACGGAGGUUAGAAGACAGUCUUCAGGAGUCACUCCUCUCCUUCCAACCUGUGGGUCCCAGGGAUCUAACUCAGGCCACCUGGCUUGGCACCAACUGCCUUUGAGAUGUUGAACCAUCUUGCCAAUUCAAGUAAACUUGAUUAUUAAAGAUUCCAAAAUACUCUGUAUAAUAUUUUAGAUACCAGAGGUCUGAAAGUGAAAUUGUAAAAAGUAGAAAUUUUAUUUAGUCAUUUGGUGAUAAAAAAUGAAAAAAACCUGCUCCAUGCUUAUUGUCCUUAAUAUAUUCAAUUAAAGCACACCAUGAAAAUUUUACAUGAAUAGGCUUGGCGUACAUACAAUAUCAUUCAAUUUAUUUACUGUAGGUAUUGUAUAACUAAUAUGAAAAAAAUGGGAAAAUGUGAAGUUAAAUCCACUACAUCAAUAAAGUGAAAGUAUCUC